rnacentral:rRNA from 1 species
GACGAACGCUGGCGGCGUGCUUAACACAUGCAAGUCGAACGGAAAGGCCCUGCUUUUGUGGGGUGCUCGAGUGGCGAACGGGUGAGUAACACGUGAGUAACCUGCCCUUGAAUAUGGGGUAACUUCCGGAAACUGGGGCUAAUACCCGAUAGGAGCUUCUGCUGCAUGGUGGGGGUAGGAAAGUUUCGGUGGUUGGGGAUGGACUCGCGGCUUAUCAGCUUGUUGGUGGGGUAGUGGAUUACCAAGUCUUAGACGGGUAGCCGGCAUGAGAGCUUGACCGGCCACAAGGCGACUGCGGUACGGCGCAGACGCCAACCGUAGGCAGUGGGCGAAAGUAUGACAGAGCGAGCGGAAGCGAGAGGCAGCGACGCUGCGUGCGUGAUGCCGUCUUUCGGGUUGUAAACCGCUGUCGCCGUAGACGAGGCGUUAUUGACGGUAACUAGUAAGAAAGCACCGGCUAACUACGUG